GGGAUUUCUGCUGUCGGCGUGGGCAGCCCUUGAGGAUGGGGCGGAGUGCCGGGAGUGUCACGGCGCUGUAGAGCUGGGUGCUGCUGAACAGGGGGAGCCGGGCGCUCUGGAGCCACCGGGGGGUGCCACAGGGCUGCGCCUGUGUGCCUGGACCAGGCAGGAGCCAGGGCCCCGUCUGUGCCUGGGAUGGUGCCAAAGCGACAGUUCCCCACCCCUGGGCUGUGAUGUUGCCCGUGGUCUUGGCUCUGCUGGUGGUUGCUGUCCCAUCUCCGUGGGCUCGGUGCGCCGCUGGGAUGUGUGGAGGGCGAUGGGCAGGGCGAGGGCUGGAUGCCAGUGCCUGGCUGGGCAGAGGAAGAUGUGUGGCUCUGCUGGAGCCUCCUCCCUGUGGUUGUGCUGCUGUCUGCAGAGAGGUGUCUGGGGACAGAGGGGGGUCUUGCCCUGGAGCAGGGUGGCUGCCUCCCCUGUGGGCUCCCUGCUCAACAAUUGCUGGCUGUUGUAGGUGAGGAAGCCUCUCCAAGGGAGAGGGACAUGCUGUAUCUUUGGAGGGGAGGGCUGACCUCAGCACUUGCUGCUGGGUGCAGCAUUUUGUCUCUUACCACAGUGACAACACAGGCACAUGUGCCACCCAAAGGCUGCAGGGCAGGAAGUUGUUGCUCUACUUUGCACCUGAUGAGUUUCAGGGAAAAGCUCUUGGCAGACUCAUGAGAAAACAUAGAGGAGAGGGUGGUGUUGGGAUUCAUAUAUCCCACCUCUCCCUUACCAGGGAACAGAAAAUAUGAGCAGGAGCCAUACCUGGGAUCUGGAGUGGGCUGCUGAGUCUGGGGUCCUCGUGUCCAGCAGCUCCCAACUGUGGGAUCAGCCCCACGCUCCUCAGGCAGGGCAGAGAAGAGCCCUUUGUUAGUCCAUCUGGAUGGUGGAGAACCUGCCCUUGCCCUCCUCGCUGCUCCCCAGCGGCUGUGCUGGUGGGCACAGCAGUGCAGAGAGACGAUCCCUGUCGGAGGGACUCUGAGCUCUGGCACCACUGCCUGGCACUGCUCCAAGGCAACUACUUGGCCCAGGCUCGAAACGUGCCUUGGCAGGACCCCGGGGCAGCCUUGCUGCUUAAUAUUGAUGGUACUGCCCAUACAGAGGCCCAGGGGCACCAGCCCUGCGGAUCGUUUUCCCAGAUCAGAAGAGUACACCUCUGAAUUCCAGU